AACGUAGGAGACAAACGUUAUCCGGAGUUACUGGGCGUAAAGGGCGUGCAGGUGGUCUGUUAAGUCUGGCGUGAAAGCUCUCGGCUAAACCGGGAGAGGUCGUUGGAUACUGGCGGACUAGAGGACGGUAGAGGCGUGUGGAAUUCCGGGUGUAGUGGCGAAAUGCGUAGAGAUCCGGAGGAACACCAGUGGCGAAGGCGACACGCUGGGCCGUACCUGACACUGAGGCGCGAUAGCAUGGGGAGCAAACAGG
rnacentral:rRNA from 1 species